GGAUCUUACACCCAUGGACUAUCCACGACUCCACCAAAUCUCGCACCCCAUUUUUCCGAGCGGCUUUGGGGAUCCAACUGUCACGACGCCAUUUUGAAAUUUUUCGACAAUAAAAAAA